AUGGCUAAUAUUUUUCAACCAAUCUUUAACAGUCCUAACCAACUUUCUAUCCAAGGGCCAGGAUUGAUUCAAUCUGUAACAAACUUAUGGAGACCUAUAACAGAAUUUUUAUACACAAAGGAAGGGAGGAUUCAUUCACAUCUCAGAAAUUCAUUAUUCCCACCGAUACACACACUUAUCAUUAUUCACAUUCACAAUACAAAAAUCAAGAGAAAAGAUUUGAGAAACUCACCACAGAGAAACAUCGAAAAAUCUGUAACAAACUUCUGUUGA